rnacentral:rRNA from 1 species
UACGGGGGGGGCAAGCGUUGUUCGGAAUUACUGGGCGUAAAGGGUUCGUAGGUGGCCAACUAAGUCAGACGUGAAAUCCCUCAGCUUAACUGGGGAACUGCGUCUGAUACUGGAUGGCUUGAGUGCAGGAGAGGAACGCGGAAUUCCAGGUGUAGCGGUGAAAUGCGUAGAUAUCGAGAGGAACACCUGCGGCGAAGGCGGGUUGCUGGGCUGACACUGACGCUGAGGCGCGAAAGCCAGGGGAGCGAACGGG